rnacentral:misc_RNA from 1 species
AACACCUCAAAGCCUUUUUUCUUUUUUGAAGAAAGGCUUUGGACUUGAGCAAUCCCAACACCAAUCUUUUUAAAGAGAGGGGGCGGGUUGCUUGAAAUGCAGGUGCAGCUGGACAUUCUCCUGAGCUAAAAGCAUAUUCAUUUAGUCCCGUCAAACGGAUUAUUACUUUUGCUGCAGCUAACAUAAAGGGAGUUUGACCAUUUUGGCUGACUGAUGCAGGAUUUUCACAAGAGUCUUCAAAACCUCUUGUUAA